UACGUAGGGUGCAAGCGUUUAAUCGGAAUUACUGGGCGUAAAGCGUGCGCAGGCGGUGAUGUAAGACCGAUGUGAAAUCCCCCGGGCUUAACCUGGGAACUGCAUUGGUGACUGCAUUGCUAGAGUAUGGCAGAGGGGGGGUGGAAUUCCACGUGUAGCAGUGAAAUGCGUAGAGAUGUGGAGGAACACCGAUGGCGAAGGCAGCCCCCCUGGGCCAAUAC
rnacentral:rRNA from 1 species